GACGAACGCUGGCGGCGUGCUUAACACAUGCAAGUCGAACGGAAAGGCCCUGCUUUUGUGGGGUGCUCGAGUGGCGAACGGGUGAGUAACACGUGAGUAACCUGCCCUUGACUUUGGGAUAACUUCAGGAAACUGGGGCUAAUACCGGAUAGGAGCUCCUGCUGCAUGGUGGGGGUUGGAAAGUUUCGGCGGUUGGGGAUGGACUCGCGGCUUAUCAGCUUGUUGGUGGGGUAGUGGCUUACCAAGGCUUUGACGGGUAGCCGGCCUGAGAGGGUGACCGGUCACAUUGGGACUGAGAUACGGCCCAGACUCCUACGGGAGGCAGCAGUGGGGAAUAUUGCACAAUGGGCGGAAGCCUGGUGCAGCAACGCCGCGUGCGGGAUGACGGCCUUCGGGUUGUAAACCGCUUUCGCCUGUGACGAAGCGUGAGUGACGGUAAUGGGUAAAGAAGCACCGGCUAACUACGUG
rnacentral:rRNA from 1 species